UGACUGAUUCUCGUAUCCAUGCAGGAAAAAGGGGAAUCUUGUGAGAACUCGACGGAUAAACUCCCCGGGAUGAGACUGACCAAUUCAUCUAUGCCAGCAUCUUACUUUGAACGUCGUGUGACCGUGCUCUUUCGAUGACGUACCAGGAGGAUGCAACGUAUUACUCUAUGUAGAACGUCCCUGAUGACGGGACGCUACUGCAAACUUCAUCAAAGUCUGAGGCCGCCCGUGUUAUACGCUCGUUAGUUCUACUUGGCUACCACACUAAUAGAAAACAUCACCAACCGUAUCUUCUACUCAAGGAUUGACGGUAAUGCUACCUCCAGGCGAAUCGCUUGGACGUUAUACCGCCUGUGCGAUGACUCCGGCUACUUUUACUUUCUUCAUUAAUUUUUACUGAUAUCUCUCCUGUUUGUUCGAGAUCGACAUUAUUCCAUCCAGGCACGCUCGCUAACUACAGACGAUUUUCUCCGUUGUAAUGUCGCCGUGGCUGAUAAAAAAAAUGACGAUCUGGAGCCAACAGGCGCCAACCUGACCAUAGGGGACCUCCCUAAAAAAAGAGCUCUUCUUUUACGAUAAGGACUACGUGCAGAUUACACCUAUUGGAGUUUUCAUGGGACUAAUACGUUACAACAAGAGAUGUGGCGGCGGGCACGUUUUACAAGGAUAUGAUUAAUUAUAAACUAAAAAACAAACGAUAUUAAUGAUAUUGAGACUCGA